rnacentral:rRNA from 1 species
GACGAACCGUGCGAACGUUGUUCGGAAUCACUGGGCUUAAAGGGUGUGUAGGCGGUCUGCCAAGUCAGGGGUGAAAUCUUUCGGCUCAACCGGAAAACUGCCUUUGAUACUGGCAGGCUCGAGCGGGGUAGGGGUUGCGGGAACUACCAGUGGAGCGGUGAAAUGCGUUGAUAUUGGUAGGAACGCCGGUGGCGAAAGCGCGCAACUGGACCUCUUCUGACGCUGAAACACGAAAGCUAGGGGAGCAAACGGG